GGUGCUCACUUCAGCAGCCAUGUACUAAACUGGAACGAUAGAUUAGCAUGGCCCCUGCACAAGGAUGACAUACAAUCGUGACGCAUUCCAUAUUUAA
ensembl:snRNA RNU6-240P RNA, U6 small nuclear 240, pseudogene